rnacentral:rRNA from 1 species
GACGAACCGGUGCGAACGUUGUUCGGAUUCACUGGGCUUAAAGGGCGCGUAGGCGGGCGGUCAAGUCAGGGGUGAAAUCUUUCAGCUCAACUGGGAAAAGGGCCUUUGAUACGGAUCGCCUCGAGGGAGGUAAGGGGCAGUGUGGAACUUCCGGUGGAGCGGUGAAAUGCGUAGAUAUCGGAAGGAACGCCGGUGGCGAAAGCGACGUGCUGGACCUCUUCUGACGCUGAGGCGCGAAAGCCAGGGGAGCGAACGGG